UACCAGCACCCCGAGUGGUCGGGACGUUUAUUGGGCCUAAAGCAUCCGUAGCCGGUUCUACAAGUCUUCCGUUAAAUCCAACUGCUUAACAGGUGGGCUGCGGAAGAUACUAUAGAGCUAGGAGGCGGGAGAGGCAAGCGGGUACUUAGUGGGUAGGGGUAAAAUCCGUUGAUCCAUUGAAGACCACCAGUGGCGAAGGCGGCUUGCCAGAACGCACUCGACGGUGAGGGAUGAAAGCUGGGGGAGCAAACCGG
rnacentral:rRNA from 1 species